GACGAACGCUAGCGGCGUGCUUAACACAUGCAAGUCGAGCGGAAAGGCCCUGCUUUUGUGGGGUGCUCGAGUGGCGAACGGGUGAGUAACACGUGAGUAACCUGCCCUUGACUUUGGGAUAACUUCAGGAAACUGGGGCUAAUACCGGAUAGGAGCUCCUGCUGCAUGGUGGGGGUUGGAAAGUUUCGGCGGUUGGGGAUGGACUCGCGGCUUAUCAGCUUGUUGGUGGGGUAGUGGCUUACCAAGGCUUUGACGGGUAGCCGGCCUGAGAGGGUGACCGGCCACAUUGGGACUGAGAUACGGCCCAGACUCCUACGGGAGGCAGCAGUGGGGAAUAUUGCACAAUGGGCGGAAGCCUGAUGCAGCAACGCCGCGUGCGGGAUGACGGCCUUCGGGUUGUAAACCGCUUUCGCCUGUGACGAAGCGUGAGUGACGGUAAUGGGUAAAGAAGCACCGGCUAACUACGUG
rnacentral:rRNA from 1 species